GGAUCACGCCCUGAGCCGAAGGCAGAUGCUUAACGGCUGCGCCACCCAGGCACCCCUAGGAAACAAGACUGUCUGCUGAAAGUGGGGAUGCAGGAGGAUGUCCGAGGUCUGAUGCAGGGAAGGCAUCAGUCACUGGAUGCCCGUAAUGCCAGCAGCAUCACAGGUUUUCUUGAAGUUGGUGAUGAUGACUGAGUGAGACCAGCAGCAGCUACAUUCUGCUGCGUGCGCCGUGCUCAGUUAAGUUCCUCGUCCAACUUGGAACUUGAACGCACAGUCCGAGAUCAAGAGUUGCAUGCUCUACCAGCAAGCCAGCCAGGCACCCCAGCUGUUCUUACUUUUUAAUGGAAGAAGUUAUAUGUAUGUAUAUAAUACAAUAGCUAUCAUUGUAUCAGAAUAUCAUUGUAUCAGGAUAGGAGGAUAGAUCUUACAAUUCACAUUGACAUUGGCAGAGUCACAAAUCGUAUAAGCAUUAUUGAAACUGGUUUGCACAGAAGUGAUAGCAGUUGGUGGUUCAAGAAAGAUUACCAAAUCUAAAGAUGUUAGUGAACUGGUUAUUGAGAGAAUCUUUGGUGUAACUUACCAAAUUCAAAACCAAAUCUUUUACGUUUACAUCCAGUACUUAAAAUGCUGAAGACUAACGAAUAAAACAGGUUUAUGAUGUAUUUGAGUUAUAAAUGGGAACAAAGUAAAAAUAAGUAAACUGCUAAAACACAUUUUUAAAAAAGACGUAAGCCUAAUCUUAUAAGAAUAGGUGAAGAGUUUUCAUUUGAAAUAACAAUUCUUUAUUUAAGAUCCAGAUAAAAUCACCUGUCACAGAGGCCCUUUUUCCUUGAGAAGGGCUGAGGUUAGGAGCCCUGGCUUUGCUACUCACCAGCCGAGAUCCUGCGCAAGGCAUUUAAACUCUCUGUGCCUGUGGUCUUCUCUGUAGAACAGGUGCAGUGACAGGAAGGGAUUUGAGAAUUAAUUAUGCUGAUGCUUGUUAGUUGCUUAGAACAAGGCCUGGUGCUAUCCAUAAAAUUUACUUUAGUGUUAUUUGCUAACUGUACAUACCUAGUAUGUUAGUGACAAUUCAAUGACUGUAAGAAUCAGUGAUUUACUAGAACAGACACUUAAAAUUAGGAAAGGGAAAAUAAUUUUUCUAGGACAUAAAAGGACAUACUGAAAACCGGGGAAUAGAUACCCACAAAUUUUCCUUUAGUCGUACAACUUUAAAAAGUGUUCUGAAUGUAGGGAUAACUUCCCAAAGAUAGAAGUGGCAAAUAAGCUUAUAUUUGGAAAAAAAAAAAAACAAGAUUAAAUAGCCAUAUGUAAAAGUGUUUAUUGGUAAAAAACCUGUUACAUAAAUAUACAAACCAUCCAAAGUCAUCUGACUUAAUUUGUAUAUUUUACACAACCAAACUAUGAACACAUUUCUAUAUUAUAUCUCAUGUCACUUUUCUCUUUGAGAGGCACAAUUUUUCUUUUCUAAAAAAAGGAAAUAAUUGUUACUUAAAUCUAAUCCCCAGUUUACCUGAGAAGCUCCUGGCAAUAAUUAUUCAAUAAGUAAGAGUCAUGUCCUAAUUAGGCCCCGUUGAAUUUAUUAAAAAUUUGAAACAAAGCAUUAGGCUUUUUCUCUGCCAUAUUAAAACAUCCUCAUUUCGGAUGAGGGGAAGUUGUCUGUAGUCAAAUUAUCUUGAAUAUUUUAAAUAUUAAGUGUUACUUCAUUUAGCUUGGCUGUAGAGGGUUUAUUUCAUUUUAACAUUUUAGAUGCACAUCAAAAUGCAAAUCACACAUCAUUUAGGAACCAAAGUAGAUAAUGAAUCUGUGUUUUCUAUAAAGUCAGCAAUGUGCCUGCA